rnacentral:rRNA from 1 species
UACGUAGGGGGCGAGCGUUGUCCGGAUUUAUUGGGCGUAAAGAGCGUGUAGGCGGCCAGGUAGGUCCGUUGUGAAAACUCGAGGCUCAACCUCGAGACGUCGGCGGAAACCCUCUGGCUAGAGUCCGGAAGAGGAGAGUGGAAUUCCUGGUGUAGCGGUGAAAUGCGCAGAUAUCAGGAGGAACACCGGUGGCGAAGGCGGGUCUCUGGGCCGUAACUGACGCUGAGGAGCGAAAGCGUGGGGAGCGAACAGG